rnacentral:lncRNA from 1 species
ACUCCCCGCCUGCGCCAUGCGGCGGCUCCCGGUGCUUCCGGCGCCUCCCGAGCCAGGCGACGCGGAGGGCCGUCGAGCUGAGCAUGCGCGCGGAACCCCGCCCCCCGCGCGCCGCGUGAACCCUGCACUGGGCCACUUCGGUCCGGCGGCUCCCGCCCUCUCCCUGGCGGCAGACUCGGGCGCUGGGCGCUGGGGGUGACACAGCGGGGCCCUUCCGCGCAGUCCUUUUCCUGUCCUCAGCGGGCCGUGCCGAGGCGCUGGGGGCCGGCUCCCUGGAGCACUUCAUCCACGCCGUGGGGCCUCCUUUUUCUGAAACGGACUCAAUGCCUUCGUCUUCUGGCCCCACGUCUGUGUACACAUCGCCGCUUGUUUGGAGCUAUUUUCUGACCUCUGCUCAACAACUACCAUCCAAACCAAAGUAACCGAAAUUCAAAGGCUCCUCCCUUGGCUUCUCUAGCACGGAACUCCUAGCCCGUCACACAGGGUCCAGACAGGUGACAACAAACAUUUGAGUGAAAGAAUUAUUUGGAGGUGGCAGUGCAGCGAGGAAGACAAUAAUGGAGGAAUGACUGGUCCUCACCCGACUUACGCCAAUGAGAACAAUGGCCAACACUUAAAAUAUACAGCCCACAAUACUACUCUAAAAGUUAAUUUAUUUUGAGAGAGUAAAAGAGCAUGUGCGAGCAGGAGAGGGGCAAAGAGAGGAGAGAGAAUUCCGAGCAGGCUCCACGCUGUCCGCGCGGAACCCAAUGCGGGCUCUAUCUCAGAAACCGGAGAUCAUGAUGUGAGCUGAAAUCAAGAGUCAGAUGCUUAACCAACUGAGCCACCCAGGUGCCCCUAAAUGCUCUUUAAUGCACUCUGCCCCUUACCCCCCAGAUGGUCUUCCUUGGGCUCUAUCACUUGAGCAGGGAAGAAGACUCUGCAUUACCCUUUCUUCUUUGACCCUUCAUCCACUUCAGGACAAUGUGAUCAGCUGCCCUGUUUCUGGUGAAGCUAUUUGCUCCUAAUGCUGAGCAGAUGUACAUUGUUAAUCACUUGAAAGGGAGCCCAAGAGAAGAGAAGAGAAAUGUACUGAAGGAAAGUGCCAGAAGAGCCCACGGGGGCAUGCAAGAUUUGGCAGAUCUGAACUCCAGCAAGCUUGAAGCUGCCAUUAUACCUGUGAGUUAGCUGAAAGCUGUGAGGCCAACUGUUCAUUUUAAUUAAUGUCCACAGACUUUAAAGC